rnacentral:rRNA from 1 species
GUGGGGAAUAUUGGACAAUGGGCGAAAGCCUGAUCCAGCCAUGCCGCGUGUGUGAAGAAGGUCUUCGGAUUGUAAAGCACUUUAAGUUGGGAGGAAGGGCAGUAAGUUAAUACCUUGCUGUUUUGACGUUACCGACAGAAUAAGCACCGGCUAACUUCGUGCCAGCAGCCGCGGUAAUACGAAGGGUGCAAGCGUCAAUCGGAAUUACUGGGCGUAAAGCGCGCGUAGGUGGUUUUGUAAGUUGGAGGUGAAAUCCCCGGGCUCAACCUGGGAACUGCGUCCAAAACUGCAUGACUAGAGUACGGUAGAGGGUAGUGGAAUUUCCUGUGUAGCGGUGAAAUGCGUAGAUAUAGGAAGGAACACCAGUGGCGAAGGCGACUACCUGGACUGAUACUGACACUGAGGUGCGAAAGCGUGGGGAGCAAACAGGAUUAGAAACCCUGGUAGUCC